AGAAGUGGGGCCAGCGUAGGCAUCUUUUGAGCAUACUAGCAGAAACGCUGAAGAUUUAUCAAGUAUGGGAUAGACCUAAAGGCUGCAAAGGAAAUUGAUCGAACAUGGGCUGGACUUGAAGCUUGCAUGUUCCGAACAGGAAUCUGUGGGUCUUUACUCACCAAAAAUGCAAAAAGGAAAUACUUCCAUCACGUUAGAGCUGUCCUUGGCCGGUGUCCGAAGUACAGAAUGUGGGAAGGGUCUCCCCAAAACACAGACCCGUGUGGAAAGAGAAGCAGAGCUAAAGCUGAGUGCUGCUGCCGUGUUCCUUCUGCAGCCCAGGCCUUGCAGAACUGCCGCAGAGGACAAGGGAAAGGCUUCUGGGGAUCCCAAAGGACUCCAAGCAGAGAUUUUAAGUGCUGAGAGCUGUGCACUGCUGCAGACAUUGCUCUGCCAGGCAGGACUUUGAAUGAAAGUUUCUGUGACACCUUCACCACUGAAAAAAUAACAAGACAGAUCCGAAGGCACCAAAACAAAACGCUGCAAGUCAAAGUGCAGCGUCUUUGAUGCAUGUUUUGCAGGGUUUGAACAUUUCUGGUGACAGAGCUCUGCUUGAUUAUUGUAGGGAAACUAAUUAAACUCUACACCAAAAUCAUUGGGGGAAUAAUGUGAUGCCUGGUACAAGAAAGAAGCACGAGCAAACUCUAAUCCUUCUGCAGCUCCAGACAUGAGUUAUCUCACUGCAGCACAUGCCCCCGGUUCUGCUCUAUAACUCUGCAGUAACAAAGGGCACAGUCAGAGAUUCGAUGACAUGUUUUUAUAUUUUCUUAAUUUUUUAGAGUAUAUUUAUAUUGGAAC